rnacentral:rRNA from 1 species
GGACAGAAUCCUUCGGGAGGAAGACCAUUGUGACUGAGUGGCGGACGGGUGAGUAACGCGUGGGUAACCUGCCUUGUACAGGGGGAUAACAGUUGGAAACGACUGCUAAUACCGCAUAAGCGCACAGUACCGCAUGGUACGGUGUGAAAAACUCCGGUGGUACAAGAUGGACCCGCGUCUGAUUAGCUGGUUGGUGAGGUAACGGCCCACCAAGGCGACGAUCAGUAGCCGACUUGAGAGAGUGAUCGGCCACAUUGGGACUGAGACACGGCCCAAACUCCUACGGGAGGCAGCAGUAGGGAAUAUUGCACAAUGGGGGAAACCCUGAUGCAGCGACGCCGCGUGAAGGAAGAAGUAUUUCGGUAUGUAAACUUCUAUCAGCAAGGAAGAAAAUGACGGUACUUGACUAAGAAGCCCCGGCUAAAUACGUGCCAGCAGCCGCGGUAAUACGUAUGGGGCAAGCGUUAUCCGGAUUUACUGGGUGUAAAGGGAGCGUAGGCGGCAUGGCAAGUCAGAAGUGAAAGCCUGGGGCUCAACCCCGGAAUUGCUUUUGAAACUGUCACGCUAGAGUGUCGGAGGGGUAAGCGGAAUUCCUAGUGUAGCGGUGAAAUGCGUAGAUAUUAGGAGGAACACCGGUGGCGAAGCGGCUUACUGGACGAUUACUGACGCUGAGGCUCGAAAGCGUGGGGAGCAAACAGGAUUAGAUACCCUGGUAGUCC